ensembl:lncRNA
GCAUUUCAGGGGGAACACUUCUGCCUCGCGUACCUGCAGGAGUCCCAGCAGAUGCCUUGAUAUGGCAUUCAGCUUUCUCCUUUUCCCAGUCCCCCUCCUAAACGUGUAUGCAAUGGAGUAUAAACUACCGAGUUUGGGCCAGAAGUUGCCAGAGCUGUGGGGAGGAGGAAAAGCAAGUGCUUGAAGCAGACAUUCUCUGAGUGGGACAUUUCUCACGAUGGGAUGGCCAAUAGCCUUUGUGCCAGUGGCAGCUCAGUGCUUUCACCUCCGACAGCACAGAGCAGCAGGAAGAUCUGCUCCAUGGCUCCUGUCCACCUCGAGGCACUGAGGGAGCAUCUGUAAACUAGUCCAGAUUUGUCUGUAAAGUUUCAUUCACAGCUCCCCUUUGGCCAAGGAAAGACCGAAGGCAAAUCCACUUUGGUGCCAGAACAAAGGGAUUUGGAGGAGCCUGGAUUCCCAGCAGCACAAAACUUCAGCACCACCAGGAGAUGACACAGCAGCUCAUAGAUGACUUUCACUAUCUGAUCAGACAACUUCUUAAUCAGCAGAGACAGUGCUCACUGUCAGAAAAAUGUCACAUGAAUCAGCUUUCAUCUGCAGGGAACAGGUUCUGCUCCUGCACAACUAAUGGGAGUCCAGUUGUUCUCCAUAUUCAUUGUCUCAUGCUGCACUGUCUGCCGUUCCCAGGCUCUCCUGGCCCUCGUGGCCACAGAGGUUCAGCACACAAACAAGCUUACAGCAGUGAAAAUCAAAGCCAGCAAGAGCAAAACUGCCCUUACAACUACAUAGGGUUGUGGUUAUAAGCCCCUGAACUGGCUCUUUAAAUAAUUCAGGAAUAGAUUUGAAAAAUACAACCCCUCAUUUAAAAGGAAGGAGUUUCUCAAGUAACAGAUUCAAUGUUGGAAGAGUAAUAGAUGCCUAUAAUUUCCAUAAUAAACAUCCUCUCUUUAAAAGUAUGAGUAGAAACUGUCACCGUAGUUAAACAUAAAAUUAAGACAUGAUUUCUCAACUCCUCACGAGCUUUGUGUUUUGCUGAAGUAGUUUAUGAACCACGUUUACCUUUAAUAAAGUCCAUGUAUUUGCAUAUCAUGACCACAAGAGAGAGCUUUAGUGUUGGAUGUUGUACGCUCCCGUGGCAGAAGACUCAGCAGCUCAGUAGCACAGUAAUUUUAACUGGCACUUUUCAAGCAUGACGAGGAUGCCAACGCAAAUCACCUAAUCCAGAUCACCAAAUGUGUACUCACUUUCCACCAUACAGGCAACCUCCAUGUGUCCUGAAAAACAACUGCCUGAGCAACAUGUUGUCAAAACAUGUCAUCUAGCAUCUACCAUCUUUUUCCCCGCAGAUGAGAUUGAGUCCCCCUGAAAACCUGAUCCAAAAAGUUUCUGAGCAGCCUCAAAAAGAGGAGAAAUGAUAGAAUGCUUCCAAAAGGAAGGUGUGAUAUCUGUUCUUACUGACUUGUCGGGGUGAUAUCAUCUUCUAUGUAACCUGAUAUAUUAAAUGCACAUACCCAUACAUAUGCAUACAUACAUACACACAUAUAUACAUGUAUAUAUAUAAAUAUAUACAUAUAUAUAUACACAUACAUAUAUGUAAACCCAGUCUUUUCCAUACACCACCCUUCUCUGCUCAAACAGCCUCCCAGUUCUGCCCUGCUAAGCAGCUAGUCUCAUUCCAUUCAAAUCCUUACCUGAGAUUAAUUUCUCCCAUGAUAUCCAUAAGGGCUUUAAUAAUAAUGAUUAUACUGCCGUCCAACCACCUCAGGCUCUCCACCCAUCUCCUCCCUAUUGUGUAUUACCUUCCACUCAUUUUCUCCCAGAUAAAACAAACUCUUGAGGGCAGAGACCUGCUGGCUCUUCUAGUCUUCUGGGUGUUGUAAAAGCAAUAAGGCAAUAUCACACAUAAAGCACAGUAUUCAAAUGAUACUGAGUCAAAUGUAAACGAAGAAAAGCAGGUCAUUCAGAGUUACCUCACCGUGAAGUGUCUAGAUGCAUCACAUUCCUGCAGCUUCCCGGAUAUGCUCACUACAGCCACAGCUCUAAUGUCACUAAUGGUAACUGCGGACAGGGCUGAGCUACCUUCAGAGACUGCAAAGGUCGUCUCUGUAUCCACCACUCAGGGAGCCCGCAGUUCCCACACAGCUGGAGGUUGGUUUGAUGUAAGGCAUGGCUCAGGAGGAGAUUUCUGGCCAGAAGUCUGAAACACGGAGAAUGCAGGAACUGGCACACUGACAUUCACUGUUUGGCCACUGAAGGCUUUAGCCUAGCAAGGAUUUAGCUGAUGGGACUCUAAUGGAGAUUGCCAGGAUUUGGAUCCAUCUUCUAGAAACGCGAUGUGGACAGGGACUGAUUGAAGGAGAUGACACAGACAACAACGAGGGCAAAGCCCCUGCUGUACAGACACUCAGACCACUCAUCUGCUGGGCUCCUGUGCCGUUGCCAAGCCUCACGCUUCCCCCAUGCAGCCUUGGGAGGCGUCUGUGCAGCCUGCUGCCCUGGAUGAUGCUGUUAACCACAGCUUGGGAACUGUCCCAGAGACUCUGCCGGUGCCUAGAUCUGCCCUUUGAUGUUCUGCAGCUUUCCAAGUCAAAGGGCAGUUUGGUCCAGAAAGCGGUGAAGAAAGAUGAAUACAGCCAAUGAACAUUUCCUCAAGCAGCAAAACGCACGAAGCCUGCUUGGUAAAUGGGUCUCAUAGCUGCUGCCUCUCAUAUCUGAGGUAGAAGCUGAUGGGAUAUUUGCAAUGUCGCACUCUCCUCUAGCUUCUCUAGUGUUUGUUAAGAGCUAAGCUCUGGUUACAGCCUUAGUGGGAUUUAACAAGAUCUCUCUCCCUUCUAUCCAGCCGUCUAUUUUUGUGAAAAUCACAGCAACCUGAUUAUUUCUGAGACCUCUGCCCCCUUGUCAAUUUUGAUUGGAGUUGGCCCAGGAGUUCAAAAGGCUGUAACAGUUUGAUCAUAUAAUCCUGGCUUCCUUAGGAAACCAAGCUAAGGAACAAACAAACAGAAGUCUUUACAGAAAUACUCCCUUGACAGCUGAGGAUUUUAUUUUUUAAUCAACACCCUGACUUCUAUGAUGAUUUUUACCUUCGCUUCCCACAAAGACCGUCUUACAGGACAGCCACCAAAUGGAGAAGUGGCAUCACAGCAACAUGACUGCAGGCAGGCUCACAUUAAGGUCCAACUAGUCUGCAACCAGUGGGAGCCAUGGGAAACCAGCAUGAGACCCAAGUAUCAUGCCAACAGCCCUUCUACACUUAAUGCAAAAGAUGAUGGCUUGCAGAGUGAUUAGUGGACAUGUUUAACUGGAGUAAAGAUCAGAGCUGAGCUGGUUGGUGGAUGGGUGUGCAGGGGGAGAGGAAUUCCCCAGAUGGAGCGUUCCCCCCAGCACCUCCACCCAGCUGAAACCCUAAGCCAGGAGCUGGGUGGGGUGGGGACACCAGCUCCAACCUUGGAAGCCUGGCACCAGAGAUAAAGAACAGCGUCUCUCGAUGGUCCCAGCCGAAUUCCAGCCUAGUUUGGCAGGGUUGCUUAACCAAAAUAGCACAGGGAACCAUCUGAAUCACUAUGGGCUGCUAAUUCAAGCGCUGGGAGAUGAGCACAGCUCUGCCAAUCACAAGCUUUGCCACAUCCAACCUGACCGUGGAGCAGGAACACAGUGCUCAGACUCAUCCAGCAUCCACCUACCUCCACACUUCUCUCUACUGCUGUUCUUUCUUUGAGCACUGACAGCAGAUCUGUUGAAGGCACAGAUUUACAACCUAAUCUUAAGAAAAGGUAGCAGCUGCCAAUGUGGAAACUCUGGACUCUGAGCAUGCCUGGAUGGACCAAAGUAGUAUUUGUUUGUGUGUUAGUUGCAAAUUGGUUUUGCAUAUACCACUUUCAAAGCAGUUUCCUUCUUUCCUUUUUCUUCACCAUCACCUUCUUUUUUCUUCCUUUUUUAUUAUAUUUUUUAACACAGCUUCUCCCUCUGUAAGAGGUGUACAUUUAAUUAUAAAAAAAGCCUUUUUCGGUUGUAAUCUGUUUCCAGUUCAAUUCCUUUGCUGGAUAAAUCCCUUAAACGUG